AGCGAACGCUGGCGGCAGGCCUAACACAUGCAAGUCGAACGAAGUCUUGAGACUUAGUGGCGGACGGGUGAGUAACAUGUGGGAAGGUGCCUUUAGGUACGGAAUAACUCAGGGAAACUUGUUCUAAUCCCGAAUGUGCCCUUCGGGGGUAAGAUUUAUCUCCUUUAGAGCGGCCCGCGUUUGAUUAGCUAGUUGGUGAGGUAAAGGCUCACCAAGGCUACGAUCAGUAGCUGGUCUGAGAGGAUGACCAGCCACAUUGGGACUGAUACACGGCCCAAACUCCUACGGGAGGCAGCAGUGAGGAAUCUUGCGCUAUGGGCAAGAUCCUGACGCAGUCAUGCCACGUGGAUGAUGAAGGUCUUAGGAUUGUAAAAUCCUUUCACCGGUGAAAAUAAUGACUGUAACCUUAGGAUAAGCCCCGGCUAACUUCGUGCCAGCCGCCGCAGUAAGAC
rnacentral:rRNA from 1 species